CUGCACAAGAAGAAGAAACCUCCGAGCAUCAGCGCGCAGUUCAGCGUGUCUCUGAAUAAGCUGAUGGAGACUCUGGGACAGUCGGAGCCGUACUUCGUGAAAUGCAUCCGCUCUAAUGCAGAAAAGCUUCCUCUGCGUUUCAGCGUAGGCGCUGGUGUUGAGACAGUUUACGACA